GCGACCCCAGGUCAAGCGGGGCUACCCGCUGAGUUUAAGCAUAUCAAUAAGCGGAGGAAAAGAAACUAACAAGGAUUCCCUUA
rnacentral:rRNA from 3 species